rnacentral:tRNA from 1 species
GGAAAGAAAGGGAUUCG